UACGGAGGGUGCAAGCGUUUAAUCGGAAUUACUGGGCGUAAAGCGCACGUAGGUGGUUUGUUAAGUCAGCUGUGAAAUCCCCGGGCUCAACCUGGGCACUGCAGUUGAAACUGGCAAGCUAGAGUAGGGUAGAGGGGUGUGGAAUUCCAGGUGUAGCGGUGAAAUGCGUAGAUAUCUGGAGGAACAUCAGUGGCGAAGGCGACACCCUGGACUCAUACUGACACUGAGGUGCGAAAGCGUGGGGAGCAAACAGG
rnacentral:rRNA from 1 species